GGAGGGGUGUGCCGACUGGUAAGGCACCGGACUCGAAAUCCGGCGCCCGCAAGGGCUUGAGGGUUCGACUCCCUCCCCCUCCG
rnacentral:tRNA from 1 species